GUCAGUUUGGGUCUUAGGCCCAAACCAACUCCAAAAUCAUGGCAAUGUCCACGUGAGGAUCUAAGUCUUCUCUCGUCCUCAAUCCUGCGUGCAACUGAAACCGCCAUAAACAUUCAUCGAUAAAAACUCGAACCACGACAAAAUUUUCCUCACUCCGGCAUACUCAUCAUCAACAAUGGCGUUCGUGGGACUUCGGUUUGAAUAAGAAGAGCAAUUCGAAUCCAUCAAAAAUGCAUUCAUUCUCAAGGCUUUGCGUUUGAAGAUCUGAAGUUUCAAAUAUUCGACGGCACAAAGAUUCACAUUGGUGAGAUUCGAAGAUCUGAAAACCAUUGAGAUUCGAGAGAGCUUGUGAUUUGAUUCUGGAUUGGCGAUUGCUGAAGUAUGUUCAAAACAUUCAUGAAUGAAUGAGGAUAAUGCUUAUUUAUAGGGUGAGAUUGCAUUUUGCAACAGGUAUGAGUGCUCAGCGGCAAGUAGUCAUGUGCAUUGCUUGUGUGGUUCUACAAUGUUGUUGCAAGGUUUAUGUUUUGAUUAGGUCUACAUCAUGUAUGAUAUUAUGUUCAUGACAGAAGUUUAUGGUUCCAAUGCACUUUGGUUUUAUGCAGCAUGGUGACUUCAUGUUUGUUAGCAUGGUUAUGCACAUGGAGGAUGGUGGUUGAACUAAGGUUUGUAACAUGACAUCAAGAUUGGAUUUUGGAUUAUCAUGUCCAAAAGGUAAACUUCAAGAUCAAGGAUCAAAGAUUGAAGAUUUGGAUUAGAAUUAGAAUUGGGUAUUUAGGGAUUUAAGAUAAAAAAAGGUUGAGUUGAUUUUGGUCAAAGUUAACCGAAAAGUCAAUUGUUGACCAAAGUCAACAUUUGGUCGACAUAUAAUUUUUUUGGCAUUUUUCAUGUAAUGAAUAAUGUAUGAUGGAUUAUAAUGAUGGAAUUGAUAUACUUUUGAGUGAAAUGGGUUGUUUUUUGAAUUGUUCUUGAUACUUGAACAUGAUACUUGUAAUGGACUGAAAUGGAUGAAUUUGAUGAAUUAAUGAUAUUGUA